ensembl:lncRNA
UAUACUAUAGGUAUUUAUGUGUAUUUUAUGAGCCAUCUCACAAGCAAAAUUGCAACUCUGCUUUUUUCAGUUAGCGCUAAGGAGGAGGACCUGCAAGGCUUUCAGUCCCUACAAACCGAGAGCGCAAACUUCAUAACAACUAUGUCAUCAGAUGAGCAAAACAGCUCCAGUGACAAUGGUGGAAAAGUUUCCACUGAAAGCCCUGCUCGCUUGACUAUGGUUGUUAUCGGUUCUCCAGGGACAGAUUUGUUCCAUACGCCACAUGAGAAGCAGCACUCAAGUACAGUAAAUGCAACCACAACCACUGAUAAAGAUGCAAUUACCUUAAAUGGGCUGAGCUUUGUCUUAGCUUAUGGUACAGGUUCACGUUCCACGGAUGAGGACAGCACAGCAGCGAGGCCGUUACAGUCUGAUGGAGACCUCUCAUUGAUCUCCAAUGAUGAGGAGAGGCUACAUCCCUCAGCUGAGGCUGAAUUUAAGUCAAUGAUGAAUGACACUAUGGCGCCUGCUGCUCAUCUGUCCAGAGGCAGGGGAAAGAUGUCUGCUUUUUUUCACGCUUCGCUGGAAAGCGAGAAUCAAAGAGUCUUGGAGUCUAUUACUCCUUCGCCUGCAAAUGGCAUUCACAUGGUAUCGGCCACUGAUCCAGCAGUAAUUGAUAACCUUGGGGAGUCAAACAAGAGCGUGGAAAGAUGGGGCGAAAACAAGACUGAAAAUUGGACUCUGGAGUCUUUUAAAACUGAUGAUCCUCUGAAUCCUACUGAAGAGGUUUCUUUGAAUAAGAACCAUUCAACCAUUAUGCAUUUUACAGUUUUGCAGGGUUCAGGGCUUUUAACCACUGAGCUUGGUCAAAAUCCAAGAAAUGGAUCUGAGCAUGAGCCAAAAGAACAGAGGAAUCUGCUUUCACCAAGUUCACUCAUCCUUGAUACUCCAUUACAAGUGAAAUCAGCCAGCCAAGUAAUAGUUAAUAAAAUGGCAGAAAGCAACAAAAAUCCCAGCACCAAUGGACCCAAACCCUUCAGGGUGUCACUAAAGCAACCAGACUCAAUGUUUCUAUUCUCCGCUUCAAAGCUGACCCCUGCAAAGAAUCCAGACACAACCACGCUGAAUUCUUUUUCAAACAUGGUAACAGCUGCUGGCAAAAUGCACGUGACAAAACAAUUUGGGGCCUCACAGUUGAUAUCUGAUUCCAUGCAUAGAAUUGUCUCAGCGAGGGACGGACUAGAAAGCAAAUCAGUUUUUCACACCAAAUCAAGUAAAGAGCGUCAAAUUAAACCAACGUUCCAAACUUUACCAACAAGUUUCCUUCAUCGUCUGAAUAAAAGUGACCUUUCUUUGGCCGCUCAAAACUUUUCAUCUUUACUCAAAAUGUCACAUCUUUGUACCAAAGGAGCCAGAACAUCUAAUAUCUCUGUGAUGGAGAAACGUAACAGAAUGGAUGAUUUUCCAGUUUGGCUGAGUGAAUUGAUGGCCUUUAGUACUGCCUCAUUAACCAACGCUGAGGAAGCAACUACUGCGAGUGAUAAGCGAAUGUUCAUGAAACAGACUCAAAGUUCACUUGCUGCUCCUGGAACCCUUUCAAUUCAAGAAGAUGCUUCAAAACAGCUCGAUCAGUUUGAUGAAUUAUCUACAGAGGCGCCUCUUCCACCUCUGACAAAGCUUAAGAAUGUGUUUCAUAUAUUCAAAGUGAGCAAUCAUCAGCCUCGACAUUCUCUAAAUGAUUUUCCCUCAGAGAGAUUAAAGCCUUUUGUAUCGCUUCAAACUCAACCGAUUCCACCUUUGUUUACAUAUGCAACUGUGAGGAGAUUCACAAAUAUGGAAGACUUUACCAAACUUGACUCUGUGAACCAAAACCAAAAAGCCCCAUCUGACAUAUCGGAGAGGCCAAACAUGAUCUCAAACAUAUUAACAAGACACGAAAUAAUAAACACAACCACAAUCAACAAAAACAUAUCACAUUUUAGCAUUCCCCCAACACAUCAGACUCCUAACAACUACAUAUCCACAACAAAGUCCUUUAUUACAACAACUAUGUUUUUAAAACCCCGGGAGUCUUUUGCCAAAAUCUCUCAUGCAGUCCCACAAAAGAAGUCCUUUCUGCUAACAACAACCUUCAGUAAAUCACAAAAUACAGUGACAACAGUUUUAUCCAUCUCUAAGAAACGAUAUAGUGAGUAUGACUUUAUAAAUCACUCGAUGACAACUGGAAACAUUGGAUUGCCAUUAGAUGACAAACAACAUAAAAACCCAAGAGGGACUGUGACGCUUUCUUUGGGCAGCUACACAGUUAGCAGUAUCCCAUCAGUCCAGCAGCUCAUUGAAGCUCACCCUGGAGAGAAAUUCCUCACAGAAACACCGCAAUCACAAUCUGGACUUCAGAUUGAGUCAAACUUAAAGAAGAGAGAUGACACAGUUAAACCAACAACUCUGAAACACCAUGAUCAGAGCAGUCAUUCCGUUGCUGGCAUGAAUCAACCCUUGUUCACGUCAAUUUCGUACAGGAUUGUUUCAAAUCCAAUUCACACUACUGUUUCCCCUGUUGCUCUGUCAAAUACAGAGUUUAAACAACAUUUGACCUUCUCUGCUCUUCCGUCAGUAUCUAUUGAGCAGACAGUGGCGCAGAUAAAUGGACUUGACAAUAACAAAGAUUCGCUUCAUAUGUUUGUCAAUUUAUCAGAAGUUAAAGAGCAUCCUAAGAACAUGACAACCAGCCCAAUUUCUGCCAUCAGUAGGCACACAAUAGAAGGGGCCUUGAACACGUCACCCCUUGAAUCAUUCACUGGAACAACUUCACCAACUUUCCCUUUGGAUCUUAUACAUAUGCAGAAUGUGUUGCAUAAAGAGCAUGUGACUUUAGCUGAAAACCAGACUGAAUUUUUCUCAACAGUGAAUGAGCAUUCACAAACGACGCAAUCAAACUUUCCUUCUGAUGAAAUGUCCAGUUCAGACGCAACAGAAGAUGUACAAAAACACCUUGGGCGGGCUUCGCUGUCUGCUGUUACUGGGGAAAAGUUCUCUCCUAUUGUCCACACGGAUUUGAGUUUCUCAAGUACAGAGACACAAUCACUCCCCAAAGGUUCAUUACAGUCCAGGGAAGGGAGUGAAGAUAUUUCACAUGGCACUGGUCCAUUUGCUGGAAGUGACUCAGGGGUAUCUGCUAAGUUCAUGUCAGAACUGCCAGUGAUAAACAGGAAGAGGAGGAUUAUAUCACCCGAUUCUCUCAGUGGUCUGGCGCAAAUCUCAGAUGAUAUCUGCGGCACUGGCAACUACACAGCAGAGAUGAGUCUGAACUUGGAGAGAGAUAUCAUGCCCGGAGAUCUCAUCCCUGCCCUCGGAAACCUACGCGUCGUCAUCAGCCUCAAAACAAAUAACAGCCAGGUGAACCUAGAGAUAAAAUCCUGCUGCCUCUCGCCCACCGUCAGACUUGAUGAAUUUAACACCACCUGCUGCAUUUUUUCCAGCAGUGCGUUCAGAGUCGAAAUGCGCAUCUCAGAGAGGAAGCAGGGGCCAUCUUCAGCAGCACGGGAAACCGCAUUUCUUUCGGCCCUGUUUUGAAAGAAGCAGACAAUUCAUCAUUCUCUGAAACAGCAGGUAACUUAUUACCAACUUUAUUACCUUAUUACAAUAUUUCAGCCGAACUGUCGGUCUGAUUUGGUUUGUUAAUGCUGUACAGAUGACACUGAAGCCCUGGUGGUGAUUAUCAGCUCAGUGGCCAGCUGUUUGCUGGCAUGUUUGGCUCUCUUUCUUGUCUGGAUGGCAAACAGACGUUGUCUGCAAAGGUCUGCCCACUGCUGGUCCAGGGCCCUUUGUGAAUGCUAACAGAACAGCGCUCACUGCAAACCAGCCAACUGGACUGAAAUCUGCAUUGAGCAUUGAAUCAUUAUCUGACAGUUUUUGAAUUGCUCAUCAUUAUGUUUAGUUAGGUGCAGUCAGAUUUACCUUGGUUCCGCAAAUUUUCACCAAAAAAAAAAGAAAAUCAAUAAUUUUUGUGAAUUCCAUGUGAGGGCAUAUGUUUUCGCAGUGGGUUCAAGUUGAUCACACAGACUGCCUAAAAGUAAGCUUGGUUUGAAAGUGACUUCUGUGUGAGUUGUACUGUAUACAUUCCCACACUAUUGAUGAUGUACUGUGACUGUAGACACUAGAGGCAAAAACACUCAUGUCGUGCAUGGCAUAUUUAAACAUACCAUUUCAGAAAACCUAAUACAAAAAAUGUUUGUAAUUUCUAAUGUAAUCAAUCAACUGGGUAAGUAUGGUAAUAUCUGUUAGUUAUUUGCUUUUACCCUAUUCACUCGGGGUGAAAAUAAAAUACAUUUUGAAGAAUAAUUGUGAAAGUCC